rnacentral:rRNA from 1 species
UGGGCUUGAACUGCAGUGGACCGGUGCAGAGAUGUGCCUUUUCGCAAGAACUGCUGCAGAGGUGCUGCAUGGCUGUCGUCAGCUCGUGUCGUGAGAUGUUGGGUUAAGUCCCGCAACGAGCGCAACCCUUACCCGUAGUUGCCAGCGCGUCAUGGCGGGAACUCUACGGGGACUGCCCGGGUUAACCGGGAGGAAGGUGGGGAUGAUGUCAAGUCCUCAUGGCCCUUAUGUCCG